rnacentral:rRNA from 1 species
UUUAACACGAAGUGAGUGGCGAACGGGUGAGUAACACGUGGGUAACCUGCCCAGAAGUAGGGGAUAACACCUGGAAACAGAUGCUAAUACCGUAUAACAGAGAAAACCGCAUGGUUUUCUUUUAAAAGAUGGCUCUGCUAUCACUUCUGGAUGGACCCGCGGCGUAUUAGCUAGUUGGUGAGGUAAAGGCUCACCAAGGCAGUGAUACGUAGCCGACCUGAGAGGGUAAUCGGCCACAUUGGGACUGAGACACGGCCCAGACUCCUACGGGAGGCAGCAGUAGGGAAUCUUCCACAAUGGACGCAAGUCUGAUGGAGCAACGCCGCGUGAGUGAAGAAGGGUUUCGGCUCGUAAAGCUCUGUUGUUAAAGAAGAACGUGGGUAAGAGUAACUGUUUACCCAGUGACGGUAUUUAACCAGAAAGCCACGGCUAACUACGUGCCAGCAGCCGCGGUAAUACGUAGGUGGCAAGCGUUAUCCGGAUUUAUUGGGCGUAAAGCGAGCGCAGGCGGUCUUUUAAGUCUAAUGUGAAAGCCUUCGGCUCAACCGAAGAAGUGCAUUGGAAACUGGGAGACUUGAGUGCAGAAGAGGACAGUGGAACUCCAUGUGUAGCGGUGAAAUGCGUAGAUAUAUGGAAGAACACCAGUGGCGAAGGCGGCUGUCUGGUCUGCAACUGACGCUGAGGCUCGAAAGCAUGGGUAGCGAACAGGAUUAGAUACCCUGGUAGUCCAUGCCGUAAACGAUGAUUACUAAGUGUUGGAGGGUUUCCGCCCUUCAGUGCUGCAGCUAACGCAUUAAGUAAUCCGCCUGGGGAGUACGACCGCAAGGUUGAAACUCAAAAGAAUUGACGGGGGCCCGCACAAGCGGUGGAGCAUGUGGUUUAAUUCGAAGCUACGCGAAGAACCUUACCAGGUCUUGACAUCUUCUGACAGUCUAAGAGAUUAGAGGUUCCCUUCGGGGACAGAAUGACAGGUGGUGCAUGGUUGUCGUCAGCUCGUGUCGUGAGAUGUUGGGUUAAGUCCCGCAACGAGCGCAACCCUUAUUACUAGUUGCCAGCAUUAAGUUGGGCACUCUAGUGAGACUGCCGGUGACAAACCGGAGGAAGGUGGGGACGACGUCAAAUCAUCAUGCCCCUUAUGACCUGGGCUACACACGUGCUACAAUGGAUGGUACAACGAGUCGCGAGACCGCGAGGUUAAGCUAAUCUCUUAAAACCAUUCUCAGUUCGGACUGUAGGCUGCAACUCGCCUACACGAAGUCGGAAUCGCUAGUAAUCGCGGAUCAGCAUGCCGCGGUGAAUACGUUCCCGGGCCUUGUACACACCGCCCGUCACACCAUGAGAGUUUGUAACACCCAAAGCCGGUGGGGUAACCUUUUAGGAGCUAGCCGUCUAAGG